rnacentral:rRNA from 1 species
GACGAACGCUGGCGGCGUGCUUAACACAUGCAAGUCGAACGAGUGGCGAACGGGUGAGUAACACGUGGGUGACCAGCCCUGCACUUCGGGAUAAGCCUGGGAAACAGGGUCUAAUACCGGUUAGUGUGGGAUGGGCGCGCGGCAUAUCAGCUGGUUGGUGGGGUAAGGGCUACGAAGUCGCGACGGGUAGACGGCCUGAGAGGGUGGGCGGACACAUUGGGACUGAGACCCGGCCAAGACUCCUACGUGAGGCAGCAGUGGGGAAUAUUGCACAAUGGGCGAAAGCCUGAUGCAGCCAUGCCGCGUGUAUGAAGAAGGCCUUAGGGUUGUAAAGUACUUUCAGCGGGGAGGCGUUACCCGCAGAAGAAGCACCGACUAACUCCGUGCCAGCAGCCGCGGUAAUUC